GUCCGGAGCUUCUGUUCCCUUCAAGCUUUCCCUACAGCUUUGGAGGCGGAGAAUGAAAAUGGUGGCCUCCCAAUCUCUCGGAGGAGCUGAGAACUCGGGCCCCACUCCUCAGUGAGCCCCCAGAGAAAAGCCGCCAGUCACUCCCGUCUCCCCAGUCUCCGGCCACACUCCGUGCUCACCCGGCCUGUGACCACGCGUUUCUAUCUCUGGCACCCGGCCCCGUGUGGAGUCUCCAAACCCAGCAGAUCCCUGCGGUGCACUCCCGCACCUCUCAUCCCGGGGGAAGAAGACUCUGAAGUCUGAAGAGAAAAGAGCACCUGAGGGCUCCUUAAUUUGAUGGAUGCAUAUUGGUGACCUUCGGAGACCAGUCAUCCUGCAGUUAUGACCCACCUGGGAGGCCCCACUUCCUGUCUGGGCAGAAAUUCACCUCCUUCAGCUCCCUCUCUGCCUGAUGAGCACCAAUGCUGGCAAAGUAGGCACCAAGGAUUUACAAAGAGCAAGCCCCCUCAGGAAACCCACUCAGGGAACGAGGUGAUGCUGAAGGAACUGCAGGUGGAGACAAGCACCACAGUGCUGACUAUGCAGCUGGUCCUGGACCAGGAAUGAACUAUGUGAUAAUGGAGGAAAGAGAUCUGCAGACGAAAGAUACUAGUGAGCACACAGGGGCUAAAAUGAACAAGGAAUAGAAGGUCUGGCCUGGUCUUGGAGACGUUUCCAUCCUUUGCAGAUGAAUAUAAUACCACUGCUGUAAACGGAGCACGGAAGCCCUUCUCCAAUCUCGCUUCAGUUCUGAGUCAGAUCAGAGACGUAAGUAAAGGAAUUUGAGAUGGGAGAGUGUCCUGGAUUAUCCGGUGGGCCUAGUGUAUUCACGAGGAUCCUUUUAAGAGGGAAAGAAGAGCAUGAGAGUCAAAGGAGAUGUGACAAACAGGAGCAAUGGUAAGAUUGGGGCCAUGAGUGAAGAAAUGCCUUAUGUACUGUUACACAUAUCUUUUAAUUUCUCAUGA